AUGGUAGCCACGGUGACCAAGAAACUGCAGGAGCCCCGACGGGACGUCGACGGCGAGCUGAGCAAUGUACCAGCCGUCGGACUCGAACCCGGAUCGUUGAACGCGGGGCCGACCCGCGAAUCGGUUCCCACGGUUGUCAUGCCGCCGGCGGCGGCAGAGUACUCGUCGAUGAGAAAGCUGGGGAAGCUCUUCAAGCUCACCGAAGUGCACCUAUGGGAUGAUUUUUAUGUGAAGACCGGGGAUUGCGAUGCUACAGAGACUACUGGUUGCACGGGAUCUCAAACAACUGAAAACCGCAAUAAAGUAGCCAAAACAACAGAUGCAGAUCAUUCAUUUGUUGAAGAUAUGGAAUUGGCUAGUCGCAUGGCAGAUCAGACUGGUGAUGACACGCAUCUGGAUGAGCAGAGACAUGAACUUAUUUACAAUGAAACUCUCAGUCUAUCAGAUAUUCCUGACAAAGAGUUGACAUAUAUAAGUGUGAUAGCUACCAUUGAUGAAGCACAACAUGACAAAAAUAUGCAGAAUGAUAGUCCAAUGACUGAAGUGUUAGAAAUGAACCAAGAAGUUCAUUCAUGUCCGGACAUGGCAAACAUGUCCACUGACAUUGCCAGGUAUUGGAAUCAGCGGUACUCGCUUUUCUCCCUUUUUGAUAGUGGUAUAAAGACGGAUGAAGAGGGGUGGUUUUCAGUGACGCCAGAGCUCAUCGCAAAGCAUCAUGCAUCUCGUGUUGGUGCAGGCAUAUUGAUUGACUGUUUCGCAGGAAUUGGUGGUAAUACCAUCCAGUUUGCUACAAAGUGUAAGCAUGUUGUUGCUGUUGACGUUGACCCACAGAAGAUUGGUUAUGCACAACAUAAUGCAACUAUUUACGGAGUAAAUGAUCACAUAGACUUCAUCGUAGGAGAUUUUAUUAAUAUAGCACCUCAUCUGAAGGGAGAAACUGUUUUCAUGUCACCCCCUUGGGGUGGACCAGACUAUGCAGAAGUCGAUGUUUACGAUAUCAAAACCAUGCUUAAGCCAUGUGAUGGGUAUCAUCUCUUCAAACUUGCCAUGGCUAUCGCUUCGAGAGUAGUCAUGUUUCUUCCUCGCAACUGCGACCUAGACCAACUGGCAGACAUGUGUUUGUCGGUGGAUCCUCCAUGGGCGGUUGAGGUGGAGAAGAAUUUCCUCAAUGGGAAGCUGAAAACCAUAACAGCGUACUUUGAAGAACACGUGAGCGUAGACGUGGAAGUGGAACACCAAUGA
rnacentral:rRNA from 1 species